UACGGAGGGGGGCUAGCGUUGUUCGGAAUUACUGGGCGUAAAGCGCACGUAGGCGGAUAUUUAAGUCAGGGGGUGAAAUCCCAGAGCUCAACUCUGGAACUGCCUUUGAUACUGGGUAUCUUGAGUAUGGAAGAGGUGAGUGGAAUUCCGAGUGUAGAGGUGAAAUUCGUAGAUAUUCGGAGGAACACCAGUGGCGAAGGCGGCUCACUGGUCCAUUACUGACGCUGAGGUGCGAAAGCGUGGGGGAGCAAACAGG
rnacentral:rRNA from 1 species